rnacentral:rRNA from 1 species
GUAAGGAAUAUUGGACAAUGGACGCAAGUCUGAUCCAGCCAUGCCGCGUGAAGGAUUAAGGUCCUCUGGAUUGUAAACUUCUUUUAUAAGGGACGAAAAAAGGCUUUUCUAAGUCGUCUGACGGUACCUUAUGAAUAAGCACCGGCUAACUCCGUGCCAGCAGCCGCGGUAAUACGGAGGGUGCAAGCGUUAUCAGGAUUCACUGGGUUUAAAGGGUGCGUAGGCGGGCAGGUAAGUCAGUGGUGAAAUCCUAGAGCUUAACUCUAGAACUGCCAUUGAUACUAUCUGUCUUGAAUAUUGUGGAGGUAAGCGGAAUAUGUCAUGUAGCGGUGAAAUGCUUAGAUAUGACAUAGAACACCUAUUGCGAAGGCAGCUUACUACGCAUAUAUUGACGCUGAGGCACGAAAGCGUGGGGAUCAAACAGAAUUAGAUACCCCGGUAGUCC